CAUCUGUUAGGAUUUUAGGCAUUUUAACCAAUUUUAAGUUUAUGUGAAAUUUUUUGAUUCAAUAUAACUCAAAAUUCUAUUUUCAGGAAGGGUAUGGUCUUGAUUUUUCUGUACAUGUCUUGUAUUGCAUAAUUUAAAUGUUCUAGCUAAUUUCAUAGUAUAUUUGUAGGACUCAAAUCUAUGGCAGGUUCCAAAUCUAUGGCAGAUUCUUAAUCUAUGGCAAAUAUGACGUUACAACCGUCAAAUCUAUUGUAGAUUUUUGUUUUCUCCUAAUCUAUGACAGAUCUAUGAAUUACGUAAUUUUCCGGGAAAAAGAAUAAAAUAUAACGUCACAAUAAAAUAAUGCCACAUACAAGUCUUCGCCGACUUCAGCAAAGAUUUACCGACCGUGCAACGGCUGUAUAGCCAGUCAAGGUCGUUAAAAUCUUCCAUUUGCAAAGGCUCUCCAAAGUUUCCUGAAGUCAUGUGUUUAAAAUACUCAGGAACACACUUUCCGUUUUCCCACACAAACAUUAUGCCGAUUGUUUAAAGAAUUAUGUGAUCUUUUAUAUAUAGGACGGAUAAUAAUUAUUUGAUGUGCCGUUCGAAUUCCGCGAUAGAGAAAGGCAAAGCUGUUUUAGUAGCGGAUAUUUUAGGAAGGGAGUGAUAGUAAACAAUUUAGCGUCUAAAGUUCUUAAAGUGAGACAAUGAAAUUACAGGAUACCACCAAGUUGACAUGAUUGACUUAAAUCACCAGUUAAAAAAG
rnacentral:lncRNA from 1 species